UAAAGGGACACUCCAGGCUCCCACACACGUUAGAUGCACUGUGUAGGUUAGGUUACAGUUAGUUAUACUGGGUGGGUUUAUAUUAUUAAAGGGACAGUCCAGGCUCCCACACACGUUAGAUGCACUGUGUAGGUUAGGUUACAGUUAGUUAUACUGGGUGGGUUUAUAUUAUUAAAGGGACACUCCAGGCUCCCACACACGUUAGGUGCGCUGUGUAGGUUAGGUUACAGUUAGUUAUACUGGGUGGGUUUAUAUUAUUAAAGGGACACUCC